AACGCACAUUGCGCUCGCCAGUAUUCUGGCGAGCAUGCCUGUUCGAGCGUCAUUUCAACCAUCAAGCUCUGCUUGCGUUGGGGAUCCGCGGCUGCCCGCGGUCCCUCAAAAACAGUGGCGGGCUCGCUAGUCACACCGAGCGUAGUAACUCUACAUCGCUAUGGUCGUGCGGCGGGUUCUUGCCGUAAAACCCCCAAUUUCUAAGGUUGACCUCGGAUCAGGUAGGAAUACCCGCUGAACUUAA
rnacentral:misc_RNA from 3 species